UUUGAUGUACAAAAAAAAAAUAAAAAUGCACAACUGUUUAGGUUCUAAUGACUUCUAAUCAUAGAGGAACAUAGAAAUGGUGAAGGGAGACGGUUCGAAAAGAGACGAUUCGAAGUCAACAAGAGAGGGAGAAGGGAGAGGGUUCGAAGACGGAUUUUGGGCAUUUUGAUCUAGAAGGGUUUCAAUCUCUCUUUGGAGACUUCAACCUAGUUCGACGGCGACAACAAUCGUUUACGAUUUCUAAAGCCUACCUAUGUGUUCCAGCCACAACCACAUCAUCGCUGUACUUGCCUACCACCGUUCAAUCAACACGACCACCAAGUAUGGAGGUCAUAUUUUGAACCACAAAACUCCAUUUCUUAUGGAGUCAAUUCUUAUAAUAAGGAGAACAUCAGGGAGGUGACUCUAGUCUGAACUUCAUGUCCAGAACGAAGUCCCAUAAUAGCUUCAUCUAUGAGAAGGCAAUAAAGCUCAUUGUUCUGUAGUUGAUUCUCUCAAUUCAGUUGUGGUUUAUCAAAUUUAGUAGCAUUUGAUUGGAGUUCACAUUUUACAGUUCCUAAACUUUUUACAAGCUUGAGUCAGAGAAUUUAAGAAGACUGAUCAUGCUAAUCAUACCAUAACAGUCCUGCUAGUUGGGAUUCCCAAUGUUGGCAAGUCAGCCCUGGCCAACUCCUUGCAUCAUAUUGGCCGGAUUAGUGUUGCGGAGAAAGGAAAGUUGAAACAUGCAACAAUGAGUCCGCUGCCAGGGGAGACAAAAGAUAUCAGCAGCUUGAAGGUGUGUAAUCUUUUUUUCAUCUAUGCCUAUAUUGCUAGAAUUGUUUGGGUUGGGAAUUAUAGCUAAUGCAUUCCAAAUUCUCUUGUUAUUUCAUCUUCUCUAAAAAAUGGUCAUAAGAGAAUACCUUUGUUAUGCUGAGGUUUUUCAGCAUGUCUCUUUUCUUUCAGCUUCCUUUAUCUGUAUGUGUUUAUCAUGUAACAGUUGAGGUGCGUUCGAAACUUGCUUUAACAGGUAUGGUUAAUAAAAAAUUCUCUCUUUUAUGAUCUAACAGGGUGAAAAACAAUGCACUAGAGUUACUCUCUUAAGCCACACAAAAUUCUCUCCCAUUUCAGAUUGGUUAGAUAAUUGAGAUAUUUAGAUUUUUCAGCAAUUCUGCUCUGAUACAUGCUUUAAAUUUGAAAUGCUGGAGCUAUUAAUGAUUGUUUAAUUGGGGAACAGAACAAGCUUAAUAUUUUUUUGGCUAUCCUCAACUUGAGUGAUGAAUAUAAGCAAUGGUCAAAAUUGUCUCCCACUGCGAGUGAAAAAUUAUCAAAGACAAAGUCGAAACUUCAGUUGACUCCAAGUUGGACAAGAGACGGAAGUAGUAUGCCACAGAUCACACACAGGUACAACCAUUUCAAUGAUCAACUUAUCAUGUAAUUUUAACAAUUUAUAUUACUGAAUAGGGAAGAUAAAUAAAUCUUUACACUGUUUCUUUUUUUCCCAUGUAAAUCAUUUUCUGCAGGAAAAUAGAAAAAUAAAAGAUUGUCUUCAAAAAUCUAGAAUUGGUAAAUGAAGGAUAUGACUCUCUUUAGUAGAGAAAUGUGGUAAAAAACUUCAACCUAAUUCCUAAUAAACAAUAAACAGGAGAUCAACUAAUUUCUGAAAAUCACCUAUGAUAUUCCAGUUGUCAUCACAAAAAUAUUUUUUGAUUAGGUUAAUGGGAUAACCAAAUGAAAUGAAUGCUCUCUUGGGAAAACAAAAUGAUCAAUGGAAAGCCCCACUAUCUUUUCAAAUUGAUCUGUUAUUCCAAACAAAAGACUUCCAAUUUUAAGUUUCAUUAGCAGCACUUCAUUUUACCUUUUGGAAAGAAGCAAAGAAAGUGCUAACGAACUUAAAGGCUUAAAAUAUUAUUUCAGUUCUUGUGGUUAGGUGCUUUAUUGUUGUUUCUUCUUACAUUUUUGGCAUUUUGAGUUUGGGGGGUGGGCAUGGGAGAUUGAUAAUAUAAUUUUUGGAUGAGGUAGAGUGAAAACAAGUUGGAUCAAUUCUAAUAUUUAACUAGGUAAGCUUGAGGUUCACGUAAGAUUGAGCAGCAUCAUGCUGACAGCACAGCAAAACACAUAUAUAAUAGAUGGACCUUUUGUUACCAGAAGCAAUAUUGGGUGUAAAACUUGUUUUUCUGAAAGGAUGCUUAAGAAAUGGGAAGCCCUUUGCUUCCAAAUAUGACAAGGAAGUGUGUUUCAAAACAAAAACGUUCAUGUUUCCCACUUGUGCCCCUUGUGCAUCACUGUAGAGAGAGAGAGAGAGAGAGAGAGAG